rnacentral:tRNA from 1 species
GCGCCGGUAGCCCAAUGGCAGAGGCAGCGGACUUAAAAUCCGCUCAGUGCGAGUUCGAGUCUCGCCCGGCGCACCA